rnacentral:rRNA from 1 species
AACGAACGCUGGCGGCAGGCCUAACACAUGCAAGUCGAACGGGAUCUUCGGAUCUAGUGGCGGACGGGUGAGUAACGCGUGGGAACGUGCCCUUUGGUUCGGAAUAGCCCUGGGAAACUGGGAGUAAUACCGGAUGCGGUCGAGAGACGAAAGAUUUAUCGCCGAAGGAUCGGCCCGCGUUGGAUUAGGUAGUUGGUGGGGUAAAGGCCUACCAAGCCGACGAUCCAUAGCUGGUUUGAGAGGAUGAUCAGCCACACUGGGACUGAGACACGGCCCAGACUCCUACGGGAGGCAGCAGUGGGGAAUCCUAGACAAUGGGGGAAACCCUGAUCUAGCCAUGCCGCGUGAGCGAUGAAGGCCUUAGGGUUGUGAAGCUCUUUCGUGGGGGAAGAUAAUGACUGUACCCCAAGAAGAAGCCCCGGCUAACUCCGUGCCAGCCGCCGCCGUAAAAC